rnacentral:rRNA from 1 species
CCUACGGGUGGCAGCAGUGGGGAAUAUUGCGCAAUGGGCGAAAGCCUGACGCAGCGACGCCGCGUGAGGGAUGAAGGUCUUCGGAUCGUAAACCUCUGUCAGCAGGGAAGAACGGUCACUGUGCUAAUCAGCAGUGAAUUGACGGUACCUGCAAAGGAAGCACCGGCUAACUCCGUGCCAGCAGCCGCGGUAAUACGGAGGGUGCGAGCGUUAAUCGGAAUUACUGGGCGUAAAGCGCUCGUAGGCGGUAUGUCAAGUCAAGGGUGAAAUCCCCGCGCUCAACGUGGGAACUGCCUUGGAAACUGGCAAACUGGAGUGUGUGAGAGGAUAGUGGAAUUCCAGGUGUAGGGGUGAAAUGCGUAGAUAUCUGGAGGAACAUCAGUGGCGAAGGCGACUAUCUGGCACAUAACUGACGCUGAGGAGCGAAAGCGUGGGUAGCAAACAGGAUUAGAUACCCGAGUAGUC